CCUACGGGGGGCAGCAGUGGGGAAUAUUGCACAAUGGGGGAAACCCUGAUGCAGCGACGCCGCGUGGGUGAAGAAGUAUUUCGGUAUGUAAAGCCCUAUCAGCAGGGAAGAAAAUGACGGUACCUGACUAAGAAGCCCCGGCUAACUACGUGCCAGCAGCCGCGGUAAUACGUAGGGGGCAAGCGUUAUCCGGAUUUACUGGGUGUAAAGGGAGCGUAGGUGGCGUGCCAAGUCAGGAGUGAAAACCCAGGGCCCAACCCUGGGACUGCUCUUGAAACUGGCAGGCUUGAGUGCUGGAGAGGUAAGCGGAAUUCCUAGUGUAGCGGUGAAAUGCGUAGAUAUUAGGAGGAACACCAGUGGCGAAGGCGGCUUACUGGACAGUGACUGACACUGAGGCUCGAAAGCGUGGGGAGCAAACAGGAUUAGAUACCCCAGUAGU
rnacentral:rRNA from 1 species